GGCCGCAUGGCCCAAUGGCAAGGCGCUUGACUACGAUUCGUAAUUGAAAUCAAGAGAUUGCAGGUUCGAUCCCUGCUGUGGUCA